GAGUUGGGCUCAGUGGUAGAGCACUUGCCUCACAUGCAUGAGGCCCUGGGUUCAAUCCUCAGUACCACA
rnacentral:tRNA from 1 species